UUGGUCUCCCUCUUUUGUUUUCUUUUUCUUCCUCAUUUAUUCUGUUUUCAUAACAAAUCCUCAAAUAUAUCUCUUCAAUCCAAAUCUCCUCCCAUUUCUUUAUCGGUUCUCUCUCUCGGUCACUUUUCAAUUUCUUUCCUCUCAUUAUUUUAGCUUUGGGUAACAAAAGGCCAAAAAAAAGCACACACCCUGCACCGUUUUUUGUGGUUUUUGAAAUUCGCUGCUUCAUCGGGGACUGAUUUUGAGGUAUGAAUCUUGAACCUUAUCUUUGUCUGUCUUUGCCUUUUGAUUUCUAUUUUGGUUUCAGAUCAAUGUUUUUUUUACUUCUAUUUCAGUGGGUUCAUUUCUCUGCCGUUUCUUUGUUGCGAUUUUUGCAACCCCUGCUUCAUCCGAGACUGAUUUCAGGUAUGAAUCUUUGCUUCAACAUUUGUCUUUUUGCUUUUUGCUUUUUUCAUCUCUGGUUUGGAGUGUGGUGUGUUUAGCUAUGUGGGUUUGGGGUGUUGUUGGUUCAGGUUUGCAGUCUUUGGUCUGACCAAAGUAAAGUCUCUUCUUUCCUCUCCUUUUUAUCUCACUUAAGAUAAUGCUUUAAACUUUUUGGACUGGCUUUCAUUCUAAUAUGACUGUCCACAUAGCCUACUGGUCUCGUGUAUAAAAAACUGCUUUCUAGUCUGAUGUCCUGAAUAAGAAAAAUCUCUGAUUAGCUGGAUUUUAAGUACUGUCAAACCAGUAUCCCAAUUGCUUAGUCAACCAUCAGGAAAUAGGCACACAUGAAUGACUUUAAUUAAAUAAUUCCCUGGGAAAUUCUACAAUAAUUAGUUUAAACGAUCGGUCUGAGGUCUCUGCUUGUAAAUCAUUGAAUGAGAUAGAUCUGUCCUUGGAAUAUGUAGUACUCUUCCUGUCCAGAAAUGACUGUCUUUAAUUUGUAUCUUUCUUGCCCUGUAGCAGCAAGAAGUACACAUUCAUGGAUUCCUUUCUAUCUCUUUUGCAGGUGCAAAAUCUAUAACAAAUAGAAGUUGAAACCGCUUAUGGUAUUGGAAUUUUUGAAAACAUGGGCUCAUUCCGUCUCAUUCAUCUCCACUUUCUUUUUAAAAAAAUGGAUGUUUUCUUUUGGUCUCCGGUCUCUUUCUUUUCAUUCGUCCAUGGCUAUUUUAUUGUUAAUCCUGUCGUCGCUCUUUACAUUCCUGUUUUAGUUUCAGAUAUAUGCUUAUUUUUACUUCUAUUUUCAGAGUGUCUUUGUCACGAUUUUUAGUUUUCACCUUUAGAGAAUCACUGUUUCGUUCCUUAGUAGAAACGAUAGAUGUUAGCUGGUAGACAUCACUGUUUUGUUCUGUUUAUUCUUUUUGUUUGUUUCCUGUGUACUUUUGUCAGAUAUUUUGAUUUUCAGCUUUAGAGAAAGUCUAUUUCUUUCAGUAUUUGAAACUAUGGAUCACGUUCCUUAUUCCUUUAUUCUCUCCUGUUUUUCUCUUAUUUCUAACGUUCUUUUCACCUUUUUCAAUUACUGUUUUUCCCUUGUUUUCAAAUAUUUUUCUUCUCUCCUGUUCUCUUUCUCCCAGCCUCCUUUCUUGUCCUUUCUUUCUUCAUACACACAAAGAUGGUACACUAGGUAGAGGCUUUUCGUGAGAGAAAUCCCAAGUUUUGUUUGCUGUUUCUGUUAUUUGUGAUUUUUGAAAUCCCCUAAUUCAUCGGAUAUUGAUUUUAGGGAUGAAUAUGUAUUUGUCUCUUUCCUUUUCAUCUCUGUUUUUAGUUUCAAAUCUAUACUUCUUUCUACUAAUAUUUUCAGUGGACUUUUGCCAGGGUUUUCGGUUAACGAGUGAUGGGAGGCAAUCUGACCCUUUUUGCAUAUGCAUUGUAAGUUGCUUCGAUUGUGAAAGUCUCUAAAUCUUUGUGUUCUCCUUUUGAAGCUUAUUUGUGAUCCAUUCUUUUGCUCGGGCCACAGCUUUGGUUCUGUUUUUAUUUUAUAGUAUUUUGGGUAGGGUUUUUU
rnacentral:lncRNA from 1 species